GGCAUUCUAUUCAAUGACAAAGCUGAUUGAUAAGCAUUAAAAGCACAAACCUAAACCUUUAAGACUUUGGACUCUCAAAACUAGCAUUAAUGACUUGGACUCCCAAAGAAAAACUAAAACUUUGAAACAAAAAUAGACUACUAAGGACAUCCUGGCAACCUAUUCCAGCAACGCUUCCAAGGACACUUUUUAAAUGCAUGAAUUUACCUAACAUUUGGCAAGCUGUUCCUCAUGAGUUAUAACUGUCACUACCGUUAUUAUUUUACAGCUGAAUAUUCAUGAGGCAAAUAUCACAACGAGUACAGCAAUUAUUUAAUUAGAACACCAGAAUAGAAAUCAAUAAGUUACAGACACAACAGAAAAUAACUUUUACAUAUGCACUAUAAGCAAACCUUAUUAUUUCUGUUGCCAAAUUAUGGUAUGCUUAUACCUAGAGGAAGACAACUUUCAUAUAGUUUAAGAAAACAUCUAGAGCCAAAAUUCUACCCUAGUUAAACUAGGAAACUUCGCAAGGGCAUAUACAAGGACAGCAGAAAGUAAGAACCUGUAUAACAACCCUUAAGCAAUGCACUUUGGCAGCUCCAGCUCAAUGGAGGUAUCCUCAUUGAGCAUGCAAUCCAUUCCUAAAACUGUGUCGCGUACUCAAUAUCCAUAGCUGUUUUAUCCUAUACCAACCUGUCAGUGUUGUGCCCAUUGAAUCUGCUUAAUAUCAAUCCCUUCCUUC
rnacentral:misc_RNA from 1 species